UCUGUUUUAAAACAAUAUUUGUAUAAUGCUUUAAAUACAGCUGCUGCGGGCUGAAUUGUGUCUGCUCAAAAUUCUAUGCUGAAGCCCUAACCCCCAGUACCUCAGAAUGUGACUGCAUUUGGAAAGAGGGUCUUCAAAAAGGUAAUUGAGUUAAAAUGAGGUCAUUAGGGUGGGCCCUAACCCAAUAUGACAGGUGUCCUUAUAAGAGGAAAUUUGGACACAGACAGACCCAGAGGGAAGACCAUGUGAAGCCACAGAGAGAAGCAGCCAUCUACAAGUCAAGGAGAGGGGCCUCAGAAGCAACCAAUCCUGCCAACUCCUUGAUCCAGCCUCCAGGACUGUGAGGAAAUAAAUUUCUGCUGUUUAAACCAUCCAGUCUGUGGUACUUCAUUUGUCAUGGCAGGCCUAGCAAGCUACUACAACUAUUGCCACUUCUAUCACGGCCUUAAAAUAAUUCUGUAAGAGAAUUUGUGUCAUUAUUAUUAUUUUCCUGAUACAGAAAUCUUGGCCUGGAAAGAGAGAGCAAAAGUACUUGGGAGUCCCAAAAACGUUGCGUGUUUUUAUAAAACAGGAGGGUUAUAUGAUGUGAGAGAACAAGCUUUCAUUCUAAAUGUGAUUCUUUCUCCUGUCUGAGGCUAAGGAUCACGUGGGUAGAAUCACAGAAUAUUAGAGAAUGUUUUUUUGAGAUUAUCCUCUCAUGUUAUAGAUGAGUAAAUAGAGGCCCAAAGAGAAAGCCUUUUCGUGCCUAUUGUACCAGGAUAUAUGCCCUCCUGCCAUAAAAUUGAAGGGGCUGUAAAUCAACAAGUAAUUGGCAACAGUACAGCUAAUUAGUAGUAACACAGCUCUUAAACAUUUAGCUGUAAAUAGAAUGUCUUAAUGUUUUCUUUACUUAAAAAAGAAAUGCUAAAACCAAAGUGUUAUUCUUGUGUCACAAUAAAAAUUCUUUAUCUAUUCCCGGUUGAUAAAAAGCACAAGGAUUUAUAAGAUCUUCACAGGACCCAC
rnacentral:lncRNA from 1 species